GAGGUCGUAACUCAGUAGGUAGAGUAGCAGACCUUUAAUCUGCAAGUCGGAGGUUCGAUUCCUCCCGGCCUCACCA
rnacentral:tRNA from 1 species